AUUGAACGCUGGCGGCAGGCCUAACACAUGCAAGUCGAGCGAGCGGCGGACGGGUGAGUAAUGCCGGGGAAUUGCCCAGUCGAGGGGGAUAACAGAUGGAAACGACGGGUAAUACCGCAUACGAUCGGAUUGCCCAGGUGGGAUUAGCUAGUUGGUGAGGUAAGGGCUCACCACUGCGACGAUCCCUAGCUGGUCUGAGAGGCUGAUCAGCCACACUGUAACUAGUACACGGUCCAGACUCCUACGGGAGUCAGCAUUGGGGAAUAUUGCACAAUGGGGGAACCCCUGAUGCAGCCAUGCCGCGUGUGUGAAGAAGGCCUUCGGGUUGUAAAGCACUUUCAGCGAGGAGGCAUUACUCGCAGAAGAAGCACCGGCUAACUCCGUGCCAGCAGCCGCGGUAAUAC
rnacentral:rRNA from 1 species